GGUGAGUAACACGUGGGCAGCCUGCCUGCNGACGGGGAUAACUCCGGGAAACCGGGGCUAAUACCGGAUAAUAUCUUCCUUCGCAUGAAGGAAGGUUGAAAGGCGGCGCAGCUGCCGCUUGCAGAUGGGCCCGCGGCGCAUUAGCUAGUUGGUGAGGUAACGGCUCACCAAGGCGACGAUGCGUAGCCGACCUGAGAGGGUGAUCGGCCACACUGGGACUGAGACACGGCCCAGACUCCUACGGGAGGCAGCAGUAGGGAAUCUUCCGCAAUGGACGAAAGUCUGACGGAGCAACGCCGCGUGAGCGAANAAGGUCUUCGGAUCGUAAAGCUCUGUUGUCAGGGAAGAACAAGUACCGUUCGAACAGGGCGGUACCUUGACGGUACCUGACCAGAAAGCCACGGCUAACUACGUGCCANCAGCCGCGGUAAUACNUAGGUGGCAAGCGUUGUCCGGAAUUAUUGGGCGUAAAGCGCGCGCAGGCGGUCUCUUAAGUCUGAUGUGAAAGCCCACGGCUCAACCGUGGAGGGUCAUUGGAAACUGGGAGACUUGAGUGCAGAANAGGAGAGCGGAAUUCCACGUGUAGCGGUGAAAUGCGUAGAGAUGUGGAGGAACACCAGUGGCGAAANCGGCUCUCUGGUCUGUAACUGACGCUGNNNCGCGAAAGCGUGGGGAGCGAACAGGAUUAGAUACCCUGGUAGUCCACGCC
rnacentral:rRNA from 1 species